AGAGUUUGAUCCUGGCUCAGAUUGAACGCUGGCGGAAUGCUUUACACAUGCAAGUCGAACGGCAGCACAGGAGCUUGCUCCUGGUGGCGAGUGGCGAACGGGUGAGUAAUGCGUCGGAACGUAUCCAUUAAUGGGGGAUAACGCAGCGAAAGCUGUGCUAAUACCGCAUACGCCCCGAGGGGGAAAGCAGGGGAUCUUCGGACCUUGCGUUAUUGGAGCGGCCGACGUCUGAUUAGCUAGUUGGUGAGGUAAAGGCUCACCAAGGCGACGAUCAGUAGCUGGUCUGAGAGGAUGAUCAGCCACACUGGAACUGAGACACGGUCCAGACUCCUACGGGAGGCAGCAGUGGGGAAUUUUGGACAAUGGGCGCAAGCCUGAUCCAGCCAUUCCGCGUGAGUGAAGAAGGCCUUCGGGUUGUAAAGCUCUUUCGGCAGGGAAGAAACAGUUGAGGCUAAUAUCCUUGACCAAUGACGGUACCUGCAUAAGAAGCACCGGCUAACUACGUGCCAGCAGCCGCGGUAAUACGUAGGGUGCGAGCGUUAAUCGGAAUUACUGGGCGUAAAGCGUGCGCAGGCGGUUUUUCAAGUCUGAUGUGAAAGCCCCGGGCUUAACCUGGGAACUGCGUUGGAAACUGAAAGACUAGAGUGCGGCAGAGGGGGGUAGAAUUCCACGUGUAGCAGUGAAAUGCGUA
rnacentral:rRNA from 1 species